UACGAAGGGUGCAAGCGUUAAUCGGCAUUACUGGGCGUAACGCGCGCGUAGGUGGUUCGUUAAGUUGGAUGUGCAAGCCCCGGGCUCAACCUGGGAACUGCAUCCAAAACUGGCGAGCUAGAGUAUGGCAGAGGGUGGUGGAAUUUCCUGUGUAGCGGUGAAAUGCGUAGAUAUAGGAAGGAACACCAGUGGCGAAGGCGACCACAUGGGCUAAUAAGGACACGGAGGUGAGAAAGCGGGGGGCGCAAACAGGCUUAGAUAACAGUGUAGUCC
rnacentral:rRNA from 1 species